rnacentral:rRNA from 1 species
UACAGAGGGGGCGAGCGUUGUUCGGAAUUACUGGGCGUAAAGGGCGCGUAGGCGGCCCGCUAAGUCGAACGUGAAAUCCCCAGGCUCAACCUGGAAACUGCGUCCGAUACUGGCAGGCUUGAAUCCGGGAGAGGGAUGUGGAAUUCCAGGUGUAGCGGUGAAAUGCGUAGAUAUCUGGAGGAACACCGGUGGCGAAGGCGGCAUCCUGGACCAACACUGACACUGAGGCGCGAAAGCUAGGGGAGCAAACGGG